rnacentral:rRNA from 1 species
GAUGAACGCUGGCGGCGUGCCUAACACAUGCAAGUCGAACGGAAGGACGAUAAGCUUGUUCCUUUGCUGUUAGCGGCGGGCGGGCGAGUAACGCGUGGAUCCCCUACUUCUAUUUCGGGGAUAAUUACGGAAAACCGCAGAUAAUACUAGAGAAUAUUUUGUACCGCAUGGUUCAAAGGAGAAUGACGGCCUUGCCGUCUGUAAUAGCUGGUUCCGCGCUGGAUAAGCUAGUUGGUAAGGUAACGGCUUACCAAGGCUACGAUGCGUAGCCGACCUGAGAGGAUGAUCAGCCACACUGGAACUGAGACACGGUCCAGACUCCUACGGGAGGCAGCAGUAGGGAAUCUUGGGCAAUGGGCGAAAGCCUGACGGAGCAACGCCGCGUGAGUGAUGAAGGUCUUCGGGUCGUAAAACUCUGUUAUUGGGGAAGAAAAGAUGUGUGAGUAUCUGUGCACGUCUUGACGGUACCUAAUCAGAAAGCCACGGCUAACUUCGUG